UACGAAGGGGGCUAGCGUUGCUCGGAAUCACUGGGCGUAAAGCGCACGUAGGCGGAUCGUUAAAUCAGGGGGUGAAAUCCCGGAGCUCAACUCCAGAACUGCCUUUGAUACUGGCGAUCUUGAGUUCGGGAGAGGUGAGUGGAACUGCGAGUGUAGAGGUGAAAUUCGUAGAUAUUCGCAAGAACACCAGUGGCGAAGGCGGCUCACUGGCCCGAUACUGACGCUGAGGUGCGAAAGCGUGGGGAGCAACAGGG
rnacentral:rRNA from 1 species